rnacentral:lncRNA from 1 species
GUUUCAGAGCUUUAAUAUACGAGAAGCGAUGAUGCGAAAAGUCGAGAAUCGCGACCCGCGCUCUGCAGUUUCGUUGCAAUAAUUAUAAGCGUUUUCGGCGAAACAGUAGAAACUGGAUUUCGCGAGUGCCGAGUUCCAAAAAUUAAAAUUCACCGCGCAGAAACAGAAGCGUUUCCCUUCUUCUCUUACCGGGAAGAAACUGAAUUCCAGGAAUAAAUCUCUGAUUCGGAUUCUUUGCACAAUUUGCAGAGAAAUGGACAAUGACUUGGUUCAAAGAACCAUCUUCUUUAUUUCGAGAGAAUUAGAGACGAGGAAGAGGAAUGACUUUAACUUUGUGCAGCGCACGAGCGACUCGGUACAACCGGAAGUGUAAAGUGAUUCCGGUAAUUCUGGUGGUAGAAGGGGAGUUAAAGUGGAGGGCAGCUCUCUCCAUCUCUUUACGGUUCCUCUUCGCCUGCUCCGCCGCACAACCGUAAUUAUUAUCAUCGUCAUCAUCACCAUGAUCAUCAUCAUCGUCAUCAUCAUCACCGUGAUGAUAGGAGGGCGCCCGCGCGAUCCUGGUCGUCCAUUGAUAUUAAUGUCGUUAUAACAACGAGAUAAUGGAUAUGGGUAAUAUAUACGGCACGAGCCGCUCGAUUAUACAAUUCAAUGCCAAUACAAACAAUUCUGCGCCAUCGUGUGAAAAAUCAUUGCGGUAGAAAUCGAGGAUAUCGAUUCAAAUAACUUGAAAUAAUUCUGAGGUAAUAUCUUUAGUUAUAAUAUUUCGA